AUGUGGUCUGACGCUGCAGAGUCAUGCACAAGAAUCCAAAGAGAGCUUUGCCUGAGGAUCCACUGCACUCUCUGCACAAGCAUCUGCUCAACUGAAUGUGCUCGGUCAAUCAGCUGUGUAUUUCUCCAAGUGACACCGUCAACCUCAAGUGACUUGUUUUGUUUUAGUUUGGGGAUGAAAUUUGGUGUCAAGCUUGGAUUUAAGUUUCCAAACAGGUAUCUUCUCAGGAAUUAACUGUGAUGGGUUAAGUUUAUAGUAGGAGUUGGUGUAGAGAGGAUGGGAUUUGUAAGAAAUCUUUAUUUUAUUUUACUUUAUUUUUGAUGAAAUUCUUAGGUAUUAUUUUUAAACAUUCUUGCUGCUGCACUGCAAAGCCAUGGCUGGUUUGAGAGGCUGUUGUGAGCUGAAUUAUUCUCCAGUGUGAGAGACUUUUUUGAGUUAUGUUAGCAGUCCUGCUGCGGAGAAGGGGAGAUCCUUUGCCUCUACCAGCAGCAGCCCAGCUUCCCUUGAAGCCCUGAGCUUCUGAAACCAGCUCACUUUCCCUGCAAUGCUGACACUAUAGGUACUGUCCCCGGACCAGCAGGGAUCACUGACACCUUCCCUGUGAACUGGCACUUUUUUCCCCCUUUCUAUGGUUUUUCUAAUGGAUUUUUAGAAGUUUAUAAUCUCC
rnacentral:lncRNA from 1 species